GCUAGGCUUGGUGGUGUGUGCCUGUAGUCCCAAUGACUCUGGAGGCUGAGGCGGGAGAACUGCCUGCCAGCAGGAGUUUUGGCCUGUAGUGUGCUAUGACUAUAGGAUGUCCACACUAAGCUCGGCAUCAAUAUGGUGACCUCCUGGAAGCGAGGGACCACCAGGUUGCCUAAGGAGGGAUAAACCAGACCGGGUCGGAAACAGAGCAAGUCAAAACUCCCGUGCUGAUCAGUAGUGGGAUUGCGUCUGUGAAAAGACACUGCAUUCCGCCUGAGCAACACAGCGAGACCCCAUCUCUU
ensembl:misc_RNA Metazoa_SRP Metazoan signal recognition particle RNA